AGCAGCCGCGGUAAUUCCAGCUCCAAUAGCGUAUAUUAAAGUUGUUGCAGUUAAAAAGCUCGUAGUUGAAUUUCGAGACCGGUCUACUGGUCGUGCUUUUGUACGUACUGGUAUAAUCGGUUUCUCUCUUCUGACGAACUAUAAUGCCAUUAAUUUGGUGUUUUAGGGAAUCAGGACUGUUACUUUGAAAAAAUUAGAGUGUUUAAAGCAGGCUCACGCUUGAAUACAUUAGCAUGGAAUAACGAAAUAGGACGUUUGAUUCUAUUUUGUUGGUUUCUAGGAUCGACGUAAUGAUUAAUAGGGAUAGUUGGGGGCAUUAGUAUUCAAUUGUCAGAGGUGAAAUUCUUGGAUUUAUUGAAGACUAACUACUGCGAAAGCAUUUGCCAAGGAUGUUUUCAUUAAUCAAGAACGAAAGUUAGGGGAUCGAAGACGAUCAGAUACCGUCGUAGUCUUAACCAUAAAUUAUGCCGACUAGGGAUCGGAUGAUGUUAAAUUAAUGACUCAUUCGGCACCUUACGGG
rnacentral:rRNA from 1 species